rnacentral:rRNA from 1 species
AAAUUGAAGAGUUUGAUCAUGGCUCAGAUUGAACGCUGGCGGCAGGCCUAACACAUGCAAGUCGAACGGUAACAGGAAGCAGCUUGCUGCUUUGCUGACGAGUGGCGGACGGGUGAGUAAUGUCUGGGAAACUGCCUGAUGGAGGGGGAUAACUACUGGAAACGGUAGCUAAUACCGCAUAACGUCGCAAGACCAAAGAGGGGGACCUUCGGGCCUCUUGCCAUCGGAUGUGCCCAGAUGGGAUUAGCUAGUAGGUGGGGUAAAGGCUCACCUAGGCGACGAUCCCUAGCUGGUCUGAGAGGAUGACCAGCCACACUGGAACUGAG